UCUCUCUCUGUCCCAAAAAUAAAUAAACCCAUAAAGAAAAUUGCCUUUUUCUUGUAAUUUACUAAGAUAUUUGUGAACUGAUGGAGACCCAUGUCCUUUAGGACUGUGAUUUCUAUCAGUUAACCAUUUGUUUUUCUUUCCUUUCCUUUGUUUUUGGACAGCUAGGAGUGUCCA